UCGGAACGUGCCUAGUAGUGGGGGAUAACUACUCGAAAGAGUAGCUAAUACCGCAUGAGAUCUAAGGAUGAAAGCAGGGGACCUUCGGGCCUUGCGCUACUAGAGCGGCUGAUGGCAGAUUAGGUAGUUGGUGGGAUAAAAGCUUACCAAGCCGACGAUCUGUAGCUGGUCUGAGAGGACGACCAGCCACACUGGGACUGAGACACGGCCCAGACUCCUACGGGAGGCAGCAGUGGGGAAUUUUGGACAAUGGGCGAAAGCCUGAUCCAGCAAUGCCGCGUGUAGGAUGAAGGCCCUCGGGUUGUAAACUACUUUUGUACGGAACGAAAAGCUCUCUUCUAAUAAAGGAGAGUGAUGACGGUACCGUAAGAAUAAGCACCGGCUAACUACGUGCCAGCAGCCGCGGUAAUACGUAGGGUGCGAGCGUUAAUCGGAAUUACUGGGCGUAAAGCGUGCGCAGGCGGUUAUGUAAGACAGAGGUGAAAUCCCCGGGCUCAACCUGGGAACGGCCUUUGUGACUGCAUAGCUAGAGUACGGUAGAGGGGGAUGGAAUUCCGCGUGUAGCAGUGAAAUGCGUAGAUAUGCGGAGGAACACCGAUGGCGAAGGCAAUCCCCUGGACCUGUACUGACGCUC
rnacentral:rRNA from 1 species